AAUCCAUAGGUUAAUGAGGCGAACCGGGGGAACUGAAACAUCUAAGUACCCCGAGGAAAAGAAAUCAACCGAGAUUCCCCCAGUAGCGGCGAGCGAACGGGGAGGAGCCCAGAGCCUGAAUCAGCAUGUGUGUUAGUGGAAGCGUCUGGAAAGGCGCGCGAUACAGGGUGACAGCCCCGUACACAAAAGCGCAUGUGCUGUGAGCUCGAUGAGUAGGGCGGGACACGUGGUAUCCUGUCUGAAUAUGGGGGGACCAUCCUCCAAGGCUAAAUACUCCUGACUGACCGAUAGUGAACCAGUACCGUGAGGGAAAGGCGAAAAGAACCCCGGCGAGGG
rnacentral:rRNA from 1 species